CUCCUCCUAAAGAGUAACGGAGGAGCACGAAGGUUGGCUAAUCCUGGUCGGACAUCAGGAGGUUAGUGCAAUGGCAUAAGCCAGCUUGACUGCGAGCGUGACGGCGCGAGCAGGUGCGAAAGCAGGUCAUAGUGAUCCGGUGGUUCUGAAUGGAAGGGCCAUCGCUCAACGGAUAAAAGGUACUCCGGGGAUAACAGGCUGAUACCGCCCAAGAGUUCAUAUCGACGGCGGUGUUUGGCACCUCGAUGUCGGCUCAUCACAUCCUGGGGCUGAAGUAGGUCCCAAGGGUAUGGCUGUUCGCCAUUUAAAGUGGUACGCGAGCUGGGUUUAGAACGUCGUGAGACAGUUCGGUCCCUAUCUGCCGUGGGCGCUGGAGAACUGAGGGGGGCUGCUCCUAGUACGAGAGGACCGGAGUGGACGCAUCACUGGUGUUCGGGUUGUCAUGCCAAUGGCACUGCCCGGUAGCUAAAUGCGGAAGAGAUAAGUGCUGAAAGCAUCUAAGCACGAAACUUGCCCCGAGAUGAGUUCUCCCUGAGACUUAGAGUCUCCUGAAGGAACGUUGAAGACGACGACGUUGAUAGGCCGGGUGUGUAAGCGCAGCGAUGCGUUGAGCUAACCGGUACUAAUGAACCGUGAGGCUUAACCUUACAACGCCG
rnacentral:rRNA from 2 species